rnacentral:rRNA from 5 species
GCGAACGCUGGCGGCAGGCUUAACACAUGCAAGUCGAACGGGCGUAGCAAUACGUCAGUGGCAGACGGGUGAGUAACGCGUGGGAACAUACCUCUUGGUUCGGAACAACACAGGGAAACUUGUGCUAAUACCGGAUAAGCCCUUACGGGGAAAGAUUUAUCGCCGAGAGAUUGGCCCGCGUCUGAUUAGCUAGUUGGUGGGGUAAAGGCCUACCAAGGCGACGAUCAGUAGCUG